AAUACUACCUUUUAUUGAGUUUCUUAUGUCUGGAUUCUUUUCUUAACCCAAUCAAGGACAGCUUAUCAGGUUAUCAUUAUUUGUGCAUGAAAGGGUUAAAUAAACAAAUUGCGAUCACCGGAAAACGAACGUUUUUUUCCCCAGGUUCUGUGUGGAAACUACUAUAUAAACUACUGUAUUAAAAUCCUCCCUUUAUUGCACUGCUUGAAGUCCAAUGUGUGUUUGCUGGUGGGCGGGCAAUUUGUCUUCAGUGAAUUCAAAACAA